UACGUAGGGUGCAAGCGUUGCUCGGAAUUAUUGGGCGUAAAGCGCACGUAGGCGGCUCCGCAAGUCGGAUGUGAAAUCCCUCGGCUCAACCAAGGAAGUGCAUCCGAAACUGCAGAGCUUGAGUACCAAAGAGGAUCGCGGAAUUCCCGGUGUAGAGGUGAAAUUCGUAGAUAUCGGAAGGAACACCAGUGGCGAAAGCGGCUUCCUGGUCCAGCACCGACGUCAGGCACGAAAGCGUGGGAAGCAAACAGG
rnacentral:rRNA from 1 species